UAUCAUUUAUGGAAGGAGAUGGGAAGAUGCUGUCAAUUAAAAGAGGCCUGAAAUUACUGGGAAGGGAAACAUAAACAGAGAGUUGUCAACUUGGACUUGGAAAAUUUCUAGUAAUUUAGGGUGGCACCUGAACAUGGAAUUUGAAGAAGGGAGGGAGCUCAGCCAGCAAGUGAUGCCAUAGAGUCCACCCUCUGAAAAAGCUGUUUUCUAUGCAGAAACUGAUCUUUACUUUCCAGAGAUCAGUUCCUCAGGAACUCCAGGCCACACCUAGAUCUUGGAAACCUGAAACAUGGCCUUGCAUUGGAUUACUUACAUUUUCUUCCUGCUACCUACCAUCUGCUAUAAGAGAGAAGGAGGGGAGAAUGAUGUAACCUGCUUUGGGUCCUCACUGGGAAGAAAGUGCUUCCGGUCUGAUUAUCUUUAUGCCCAGGAUGAAGUGAGUUUUUUCCACUCACGAAACGGGUUAAUAACAAUUUGCCUGCAAACUCCCGUCGGCGUCUAUUAAAUAAUUAUUCCUACUCUGGACCGUGAAAGAACAAACAACUUGCACAAGUCUCCCCUCCCACCGGCUUUUUUCAUUGUACCCAGCAUUUGCACUUUAAAGUUUCAAACGUAUUCCGGACGGUGAAGAUUCAGCUUAUAAAUGGAUGGACUUUGAGAUUUUGAAAUUGUGACGAUUUUGAUGUUCUAUCGGAUGGACCUUGAAUUUUGUAAAUGUAUUUAUGAUGCAUGUUAAACUCAUUUAGC